rnacentral:misc_RNA from 1 species
GAUGAAGAACGUAGCGAAAUGCGAUAAGUAAUGUGAAUUGCAGAAUUCAGUGAAUCAUCGAAUCUUUGAACGCACAUUGCGCCCCCUGGUAUUCCGGGGGGCAUGCCUGUUCGAGCGUCAUUACAACCCUCAAGCUCUGCUUGGUGUUGGGCCCCGCCGCCCCGGCGGGCCCUAAAAUCAGUGGCGGUGCCGUCCGGCUCCGAGCGUAGUAAUUCUUCUCGCUCUGGAGGUCCGGGUGUGUGCUCGCCAGCAACCCCCAAUUUUUUUCAGGUUGACCUCGGAUCAGGUAGGGAUACCCGCUGAACUUAAGCAUAUCAAUAAGCGGGA